rnacentral:rRNA from 1 species
AGGGAAAGGCGAAAAGAACCCCGGCGAGGGGAGUGAAAAAGAACCUGAAACCGUGUACGUACAAGCAGUGGGAGCCUCUUUAUGGGGUGACUGCGUACCUUUUGUAUAAUGGGUCAGCGACUUAUAUUCUGUAGCAAGGUUAACCGAAUAGGGGAGCCGAAGGGAAACCGAGUCUUAACUGGGCGUUAAGUUGCAGGGUAUAGACCCGAAACCCGGUGAUCUAGCCAUGGGCAGGUUGAAGGUUGGGUAACACUAACUGGAGGACCGAACCGACUAAUGUUGAAAAAUUAGCGGAUGACUUGUGGCUGGGGGUGAAAGGCCAAUCAAACCGGGAGAUAGCUGGUUCUCCCCGAAAGCUAUUUAGGUAGCGCCUCGUGAAUUCAUCUCCGGGGGUAGAGCACUGUUUCGGCAAGGGGGUCAUCCCGACUUACCAACCCGAUGCAAACUGCGAAUACCGGAGAAUGUUAUCACGGGAGACACACGGCGGGUGCUAACGUCCGUCGUGAAGAGGGAAACAACCCAGACCGCCAGCUAAGGUCCCAAAGUCAUGGUUAAGUGGGAAACGAUGUGGGAAGGCCCAGACAGCCAGGAUGUUGGCUUAGAAGCAGCCAUCAUUUAAAGAAAGCGUAAUAGCUCACUGGUCGAGUCGGCCUGCGCGGAAGAUGUAACGGGGCUAAACCAUGCACCGAAGCUGCGGCAGCGACACUAUGUGUUGUUGGGUAGGGGAGCGUUCUGUAAGCCUGUGAAGGUGGCCUGUGAGGGUUGCUGGAGGUAUCAGAAGUGCGAAUGCUGACAUAAGUAACGAUAAAGCGGGUGAAAAGCCCGCUCGCCGGAAGACCAAGGGUUCCUGUCCAACGUUAAUCGGGGCAGGGUGAGUCGACCCCUAAGGCGAGGCCGAAAGGCGUAGUCGAUGGGAAACAGGUUAAUAUUCCUGUACUUGGUGUUACUGCGAAGGGGGGACGGAGAAGGCUAUGUUGGCCGGGCGACGGUUGUCCCGGUUUAAGCGUGUAGGCUGGUUUUCCAGGCAAAUCCGGAAAACCAAGGCUGAGGCGUGAUGACGAGGCACUACGGUGCUGAAGCGACAAAUGCCCUGCUUCCAGGAAAAGCCUCUAAGCAUCAGGUAACAUCAAAUCGUACCCCAAACCGACACAGGUGGUCAGGUAGAGAAUACCAAGGCGCUUGAGAGAACUCGGGUGAAGGAACUAGGCAAAAUGGUGCCGUAACUUCGGGAGAAGGCACGCUGAUAUGUAGGUGAAGCGACUUGCUCGUGGAGCUGAAAUCAGUCGAAGAUACCAGCUGGCUGCAACUGUUUAUUAAAAACACAGCACUGUGCAAACACGAAAGUGGACGUAUACGGUGUGACGCCUGCCCGGUGCCGGAAGGUUAAUUGAUGGGGUUAGCGGUAACGCGAAGCUCUUGAUCGAAGCCCCGGUAAACGGCGGCCGUAACUAUAACGGUCCUAAGGUAGCGAAAUUCCUUGUCGGGUAAGUUCCGACCUGCACGAAUGGCGUAAUGAUGGCCAGGCUGUCUCCACCCGAGACUCAGUGAAAUUGAACUCGCUGUGAAGAUGCAGUGUACCCGCGGCAAGACGGAAAGACCCCGUGAACCUUUACUAUAGCUUGACACUGAACAUUGAGCCUUGAUGUGUAGGAUAGGUGGGAGGCUUUGAAGUGUGGACGCCAGUCUGCAUGGAGCCGACCUUGAAAUACCACCCUUUAAUGUUUGAUGUUCUAACGUUGGCCCGUAAUCCGGGUUGCGGACAGUGUCUGGUGGGUAGUUUGACUGGGGCGGUCUCCUCCUAAAGAGUAACGGAGGAGCACGAAGGUUGGCUAAUCCUGGUCGGACAUCAGGAGGUUAGUGCAAUGGCAUAAGCCAGCUUGACUGCGAGCGUGACGGCGCGAGCAGGUGCGAAAGCAGGUCAUAGUGAUCCGGUGGUUCUGAAUGGAAGGGCCAUCGCUCAACGGAUAAAAGGUACUCCGGGGAUAACAGGCUGAUACCGCCCAAGAGUUCAUAUCGACGGCGGUGUUUGGCACCUCGAUGUCGGCUCAUCACAUCCUGGGGCUGAAGUAGGUCCCAAGGGUAUGGCUGUUCGCCAUUUAAAGUGGUACGCGAGCUGGGUUUAGAACGUCGUGAGACAGUUCGGUCCCUAUCUGCCGUGGGCGCUGGAGAACUGAGGGGGGCUGCUCCUAGUACGAGAGGACCGGAGUGGACGCAUCACUGGUGUUCGGGUUGUCAUGCCAAUGGCACUGCCCGGUAGCUAAAUGCGGAAGAGAUAAGUGCUGAAAGCAUCUAAGCACGAAACUUGC